AUGCUCACUUCGGAAGCAUAUAUACUAAAAUUGGAACAAUACAGAGAAGAUUAGCAUGGCUCCUGCGCAAGGAUGACAAGCAAAUUCGUGAUGCAUUCCAGAGUGAU